rnacentral:rRNA from 1 species
CCCUACGGGGCGCACGCAGAUGGCGCCGCCCGUCGAGUGCCCGCCGAGUAUGAUAUUGGAAAGCUGCAGCUUUUCGACGACGCACUUAAGGUCGUCGGCGAGGCGGUCGUAAUCGUAGCCGUGCCACGGCCUGUCGGAUUGGCCGAACCCGCGGUAAUCGACGCCUAUGCACCUUACGCCCAUCUUCGGCAGCACGUCCAGCUGGUAUUCGAACAGGUCGUGGCUGCCCGGCCACCCGUGCACGAACAGCAUCGUUUUAUCGCCGCCGGGGUUUAAGUCCUCGACGAAUAUCCUCACGUCCGGCUCGACGCAGAGAUAAUAGCCCAUGGAAAAAACACCUCCCGAAAGUAUCGCUUCUAUAAAGAGAUAUUUCCGGGGAAACGGAGAUAUGAUAGGCGGGGGGGC